UUAAUUUGACAAAACAGGAGAAUCCCAGAAAUCAUCAAUUACCUUGGGUGACAUUUACAUAAAACUGAAAUGUACCCUUUUUAGCCCAAUCAAAUGGACAAAUGUAUGUUAAGUUGGACCCAGUUUAAUACGACAAAACAAAGGAAUCCACACAUGAAUAUGGGGACCAUUGCCCCCCUCUUUAGCACAACAUCCAAUCAAAUUAACAAGUGUAAAGAUCAAUGGCUGUGAAAAUUAGACAAGUGGACUGAUUUAUUUUGUAUGUCACUGAAAUACAUUUAAAAUAAACAUUUAUACUUAUU